rnacentral:rRNA from 1 species
AAAUUUUAUUUAUUAAUAAAAUUUGAUUUUGUUUUACUUUAAUUGGUUAUUAUUAUGAUAGUUUUAUAUACUAGUUUUUGCGAGUUAUUUAAUUAAUCUUAAUG